UACGUAGGGACCGAGCGUUGUCCGGAUUCAUUGGGCGUAAAGAGCUCGUAGGCGGCCACUCAAGUCGAAUGUGAAACCUCGAGGCUUAACCUCGAGCCUGCAUUCGAUACUGGGCGGCUAGAGUCUGGUAGGGGGAUCUGGAAUUCCUGGUGUAGCGGUGGAAUGCGCAGAUAUCAGGAGGAACACCGGUGGCGAAGGCGGGAUCCUGGGCCAGUACUGACGCUGAGAAGCGAAAGCAUGGGGAGCGAACAGG
rnacentral:rRNA from 1 species